rnacentral:rRNA from 1 species
AGAACGAACGCUGGCGGCAUGCCUAAUACAUGCAAGUCGAACGAACACUUCGGAGUUAGUGGCGCACGGGUGCGUAACGCGUGGGAAUCUGCCCUUGGGUUCGGAAUAACAGUUGGAGACGACUGCUAAUACCGGAUGAUGACGAAAGUCCAAAGAUUUAUCGCCCAGGGAUGAGCCCGCGUAGGAUUAGCUAGUUGGUGAGGUAAAGGCUCACCAAGGCGACGAUCCUUAGCUGGUCUGAGAGGAUGAUCAGCCACACUGGGACUGAGACACGGCCCAGACUCCGUACGGGAGGCAGCAGUAGGGAAUAGUUGGAACAAGUGGGACGAAAGCCUAGAUCCAGCAAUGCCGCGUGAGUGAUGAAGGUCGUUAGGGUCGUAAAGUCUUCUUUACCGAGUA